rnacentral:misc_RNA from 1 species
UUUUGAUAUUUUGUUGAUGGCAACCAUGUGUGGAGGAAUUAUUUAACUAAGACACUAAGCAGUUUUUACAUAAAGUACUACUAAUAGUGGAAAAGCAAUUCUACAUUAUUUUUCUUUUGUAAUUUUUUUUUUUGUGUAAUGUUACUAAAAAUAACUUCCAUAGUUUAUAAGUAAAUAUUGUUACUGACACACUAAUAUAUCUAAUAUUAAUCUGAAAUAAACUUUAUUAUGUGCCCUGGACACUGGAGCGGACUGUAACCUUUCUCGCCUUAUUACUAACCACACGAGAGUACUAAAAUAUAUACGGUCGAAUUGAGUAACCUCCUCCUUUUUUGAAUCGGUUAAAAAGAGAGUCACAUAUUCUACAUCAGGGGGGUUUAGGAAUUAAAUCCUAUUCAUAUUCCCUUGUCUGCCACUCUUGCAAAUCCUAUUUCGGGUGCGAUCAGCCGGUGCUCGAGUCGGACAUA